rnacentral:lncRNA from 1 species
CCAGAGCUGACUAGUGACAGAUUGGAACUAGAAACCAGAUCUCCUGGAGCCUUAAUAUGGUUUUUAUUUCCAUCUGUUGCAUUUUACAUAUGAAGAAACCAAAGCUGGAGAAGCUGAAUGAAAUGCCCUCCGUCAUGUAGUUUUCAGACAUUGGGAUGGAGGCACAGGAAGUCCAGUAAAUUGCCGAAAGUUGCACAAGAGGUGCCAGGAUUAGAACACAGAGCAUCUGGCAUCAGAAUCUGCACACUUCACCCCUCCAAAGGGCUGGACGACGGAAUAUCUAAGGUCUCUUCUACUUCCAAAAUGCUGUGGUGUCUCAGAAAACCUGCAUCCCAGGUGUGCA